GUCUUUGAACACGAUCGCAGCAGAUCCAGGCCAAGCUAAUGGCUGACAACAGCAUUCAGCAAGCGUUGAUGGGGGACAAUCCUCCCAAUGUGCUGAAAAAUAAGCCAUCUGAAGGAGCUAAAAGGUUUCGACGAUGCAGAUCAACUCCUGCAGACCCCACAGAUCAAAAACCUGAAGAACGUGGCCCUGCGCUUCAAGCCAAGGAGUUAUUCAAGGAUAUACGGCCAAGCUUCAGACUUGUAGGCCUCCUCCUCUUUGUCUACCUGCUAGCGGGUGUCAUCAUCUUUUACCUUUUCAUGGAUCAGAUAUCUGGGGACAGGACUAAUAGAGUGCUUGAUGCCAUGUACUUUGUUGUCGUCACAAUGACCUCAGUUGGCUAUGGGGAUCUUGUCCCAAACAGUGACACAACAAAGCUGCUUGCUUGUGCUUUCGUCUUCAUAGGCAUGGCGAUAAUUGCUCUCUUCAUCAGCAAAGCGGCAGAUUAUCUUGUUGAGAAACAGGAGGUGUUGUUCUUCAAAGCACUGCACAUGAAUAUGAAGGGUGGCAAGGCCAAAAUGCUCAGAGCAAUGGAGACAAAUCGGAUCAAGUACAAAUUCUACACUGUUGCUCUACUCCUUGCGAUGGUUGUUGCUGCUGGCACUCUAUUUUUGUGGAAGGUUGAGAAGCUGAGCAUUGUUGAUUCCUUCUACUCCGUCUGUGCCACAAUCACUACCCUGGGUUAUGUGCACAAAAGUUUCUCAUCCCAAUUGGGGCGUGUUUUUGCGAUAUUUUGGAUAAUCAUGAGCACUAUCCUCAUGGCUCAGUUCUUAAUGUGCCUUGCCGAACUCUAUACCGAGCGACGGCAGAAAAUGCUCGCCAAAUGGGUGCUCAACAGGAGGAUAACAACUAUGGACCUUGAGGCAGCUGAUCUGGAUGGCGACCGGCAAGUUGGUGCUGCCGAAUUUGUACUUUACAAGCUAAAAGAGUUAGGAAAGAUCAGCCAAGAGGAUUUAUCUUCUUUCCUUGAGGAAUUUGACAGGCUCGAUGUUGACCAGUCUGGCACACUCUCAGCUUACGACCUUACUCUGGCACAAACCAAUCAGUGACUGUUGGAUGCAUAUGUAUUUGAUUUUGCUGCUUGAAUGGUUUUGGUUGAUGUUAUUAGCAUUUCUGUUGUCCAUAUGUACGCUGUAACAUUACAAAGGUACAAAGAACCUCAAUUUAACCAAAUUUAUAAGAAACAAAUAGUUGCUGGAAGUUUAUCUGA